CGCCGCUGCUAGAGGCGCGUCUCGCUGCCUCCUCCCCGCGCCUCCCGUCUCCUCCUCCCUCCCUCCUCCUCCUCUCCGCCCCUCCCCCGCCCGACCAACCCCAACUCCCAGCCCCCCACCCGCUCCUUUUUCUGCUCCCUCAGUGAGCCGGCGCGCGAGAAGGCAAGGCGGGGCGGCGCGAGCGGAGCAGGCACCCCCGCGCGCUCGCCCACCGCCCGCUCCGCGCAGCUCCCGCGCGGGCCGCUCUCGUCUCCUCCGCAGCGGGCGCGUCGGAGGGAGCCCAGCAUGGCCGGGCCGGGCUCGCCGCGCCGCGCGUCCCGGGGGGCCUCGGCGCUUCUCGCCGCCGCGCUUCUCUACGCCGCGCUGGGGGACGUGGUGCGCUCGGAGCAGCAGAUACCGCUCUCCGUGGUGAAGCUCUGGGCCUCGGCUUUUGGUGGGGAGAUAAAAUCCAUUGCUGCUAAGUACUCCGGUUCCCAGCUUCUGCAAAAGGCAAAUACAUGAAUACCAAACCACCCGAUAAUUGUGAAAUCCAUUGGGCCUGAGCCGACACAGUUAUUGUUUCCAGUUUUUGAUGAAGACAUAGCCAUGUGUCAGCAUGAGCAAAAGUAAAAGAAAUGCGAAACCAUCACCCCCAGCACCUGUGGCCCUUCCAG
rnacentral:lncRNA from 1 species